rnacentral:lncRNA from 1 species
UUGAGGAUACGACCGGAAGGUAGGAGUCAAGUAGCCUGCAGAAGUAGAUAACCUAGAGCUCAGUUUAGGGGCCAAGUGAAGGGAGUCAGUUAAGCCUAAUAAAGGCCAACUGACUGCUAGAAGCCAGUUAUAUCAGGGGGAAGAAUGGAGACCAAUGUGUAGAUAGGUAGUAGCAAUGAUGAGGAAAAUAGGGGCCAAGCUUAGUGGUCUAGUAUGGACUGGCUAAAGAAGAAAAUUCAGCCAUAUAAGGCCAAACAAAGUGCCUAGAAUUGGCUAACUUCUUCAAUUCCAGAAUUUCCAAAUUAGUAGCAUAAAGAGAGAAAGGCAGAGCUUAGGCAAGGGAAGCAAAAAGGGAUUUUCACUACAGUAGAUAUCUAAGUACUAAAGUAAUUCAAAUUACUUGUUUUAUUAUUUUUGUUUCUGAGAUUAAUCAGUAAUGAGAAUUGGUUGCUAUGAAAUUUGGGGCUGUAAUAUACUAAAUUUUUUAGUCAAGCCCAGCUGAGUUUGUUCAGAGAUAAGCAUGUAUAAAAUAACUAUAUAUAUAUAUAUAUAUAUUAUGUAAGUAACGAAUUGCUUGAUGGAAGAUUGGUAAUGUUAUGUAG